GCCCGGGUGGCGAAACUGGUAGACGCAAGGGACUUAAAAAUCCCUCACCCUCGCGGGUAUGCGGGUUCGAUCCCCGCCCCGGGCA
rnacentral:tRNA from 1 species